GAUUGCAGGGUAUGGUUUGGAGUUUACUCGAAUCGCGGCGGAGGGCGGACUGACCAUAUAUCUUGUAGAUGAUAUAUAUCAGUCUGGCCUUGCCAGGCAAGGCCUAUAUGGUUGAGAAACUUAAAAAUGAAAUCAGAAGGCAAAUUUACAGAUGAAAUCAACUGAUGCACAAACUGUUUUUAAAGCAACCAGUUUAAUCACUCGAGGAUACAGAUACGCUUUCUGAAAUUGUAAAAUAUUGCAUUAAGUGCUGAUUUUGUAGUUUUACACAUACUGAAAUUAUUGCAAAUGAGUUUUUGAAUUGUUUAAACCAAACGGAAACAUGUGAAGCCCACGGAUGAUUUCAUGAAACCUGGCUCUAGCAGCAGCGCCUCCAGCUCCAGAACCUCUGCUUCCUCCUCCAGCUGUGACCUGCAGAUCGCACGGGACACCUGCGGCUUCUGCCGAAACAACGGAGAGGGUUAGUUCAGAAAACUUUGCCUUGUACAAUUGUGAUAGAGGUUAAACAGACUUUAUAAGCAGGUACAAUGUCAGCCACUCCACCUUGGGUCUUGAUCACCCUGCACAGGUUCAUUUUGUGAUGAUCAAUCAGACUGACCAAAUCAGAAUGAAGUAUUUCAGAGUUGUGUAAAAGGUUAUAAUAUGUUUUUAUGAAGGGACAAUAGGUGAUAUGUUUUAAAAUUAAAUAUAUUCCUUUAGUUUGGGAAUGUUAUCCACUGUUUGUUCUACAGAUUAACCCAGUGAGCUGCAGUACAGCGACAUUUUAUUUAUUACCACUGGCUUGAAAACCCUGCCACAUCUAGGACUGAGACCGCACCAAAACAUUCACUUCCAUCACAGCACUGACGAGAAUGAGAUGUUGUCACAACUUCCUAAAGCAAAUACGUGUUGCCAAAGCUUUGGGAUUUGCUUUUUUUAAAAAAACAUUGAAAGGAUCUGUCUUUUUUUCCCUAGUUAUAAAUCUCUUUAAAUGGUACAGUUUUAUGGGUUCAUGUAAUAUAUGCGAUAAAUACAUCUCAAUCUCAAACUAAACUAAAUGAUAUUCUGAAACAAAAAGUGUUUACUUGUCCAGUUUAUAAUAUAAAAAGAUGAAUGAGUACAUACAAGUACAUGUGAACAUGCCAUAUAUUCAAGAGGACAUUCUGUAAUCGCAAACUGGCAUAAAAUCUAUUACUAAAAGAUAGCGGUUGCUGUCAUUGGUAAGUGGGUUACAUACAGCUUGUAAAUGAGUCGCAUUGUCAGGAUUUAAUGUGAGGUUACUUUCUGUAACUUUUAUUUGCUCAUUAUCUUCCCCAACUACAGGCCCAUCAUAAUCGAUACCAUAGUCCUCAGUUUCCUCCUGUGAGAUUUGUAUGGUGAAUGGUGGUUCCACUGGUGGCCCAUAGGUGGACUUCACUUGUGGAGAUUCAGUGUUCCAUAUACUGGAAAAGUUGCUUACAGAACCCUGACACAACCCUAUUGACAUCAGCCCAACAGGCAUAAUCAAUUCUCUAAUUAUGGACGCUUCGGCCCACUAAAACUCCCUCUUUCACUUCUACAAUUGUUUAUCAUGUACCUGGCCAUUUCAAUGCUCUCACUACCUCUAUCUCCUCUGACUCUGUGAGGCAAACCAAAUCUUGCCACACCCUGCUAAAAAAAAAAAGCUUAGUACUGUAUAUGCUCUAUCUAACAGUCCGGCUAUAGCCAUCAAUGCCCAUGGAACACAAAACUCCAUGCAAUUAAUUUGUGGUUUGAAUCAAUGUGCCUACGAAAAAAAGAAAAGAAGGAUUUGUACAAACUGUCAUGUUUGUGUUCAGCAUAUUAUGACUGAUACAUACCAAUGUCAAUGUAAUACAUACCAAAGAUGAUUUGGUCCUCGGAUCAUGGUGCCAACAGGGUCAACUGCUGCCGGUCGAUCCCGAUAAACCAGAGUUAAUAAACAUCGGUGGACUUGAACUUUAAAAAUUGUGUGUGCUGAUGUCUUUCUGUGGUUGAAACAACAUACCUUCUAAUGUUAAUUCACGUUUAUAACUGGUAGGAAGAAAUGAUUGGUUCACAUGCCGCUUGAACUGAGAUGCUACAGCGAUCUGUCAAGACCAACCUGGUCUCAUGACGAAAACGUACCUGUGGGCAUGUUUUCGCGAGUCGCGAAAUACGUACCGGUGAGUACAUAUCGCUGCAGUUUCGCUCUGAAAUGUCCACUGAGCAGCGCCAAAAGCGUGUUUUUUUUUUUUUUUUUUUUUGCCGGAGCAGAUAAUAGGGUGAAUGUGGUAAGUUUUUAUGACGUUGCUUUUUAGACGAAUCGCCGCGGUUCUCGAUUUGACAUUUGCGCUCCGUUGCCUUUUAAAAUAACUUCCCACCGACACUACGCCUAAACCUACCCGAUAGUGUUAACAAAAGCAAACGUGACGUAAGAAGCGUCCGUUUUUCAGCUCGUUUAGAUCUCUCUUUGAGCUCUUUUUUUUUUUUUUUUGAUUUUCCGUCAGUCGCCUUUCACGGGAUUCGUACCCAGGCAUGGGGGAGUCGACUCCUCGCCGUAAGUCCAACUCCGUAUCGGCCGAGCUACCGAGCAAGCUUGGUCACGGUCAAAAAAAGCGAAACGCGUAGAGCCGGAAAGUCCAAAGUACGUUCGUUUACAAAUCGGGCACUCCGGUCAGAUGCGUUUUGAAGUCGUGACGUGAUAUUGCGCGAGGAGACGCCAAAACGAGUCUUUACGAAUCCAUAAUCCGACCCCGGCCGUCGUCGAAACCGUGCGUUAAAACGAGCAAAAGCGCUUAUCGACGUUUUGCCGGCCUCUAGCAUUCGUUUCUGUCGGAAACGGCAGCGAGACGUACUCGUCGGUACGUAAUUUUGUGUCUCGCGAAAACGUGCCCACUGGUACGUCUCUCCCAUGAGACCAGGUUGGUCAAUACACAUUAAAGAGCUUGAAUUUCUUUAAAAAAAAAAUAAAAAAAUUUGAAAGCUGAGACUGUUUCAUACUAAACCUGCUCUGUCUAGUCUGCCAGCACAUUGUCAGUGUCCUCUUUGCUUUGCAGUGUAUUUGUCACUCUGUGAGAACAUGGUUUGUCGGACAAAGCAAAAGAAACUAAAGGGGGACGGGUCUUUGUGAAAGGUCAAUUGAACAAUGUCAGCAACAUCAGUAUAAGCGCACUUGACAUCAAAAUGACACUGAUUAGAUAUCAUAUUAAUAUUUUAUAUAUAAUAUGCUACCUAAGUACACUCGCCUUGGAAGGGAAUAUUGCUCUUGGAGCAAAAACUGUCCAGUCUUCUACACAGUCUUUCCUUGGAUCGGCUAAACAUGCAGUAGAUGGAAACAGUAAUCCAAUAUAUGCACAUGGGUCAUGCUCUUGUACGAAAAUGGAGCAUAGUCCCUGGUGGAGAGUGGAUUUAAUGGGUGUCUACAGCAUAACCAAGGUUACCAUCGCUAAUCGUAAAUGUUGUGGAAAGUUGAUAUCAGGUGCUCAGAUCCGGAUUGGCAACAGCCUGCAUAGCAACGGCAACAACAAUCAGCUAUAAGGAUUGGCUGCAACAAUUUGGUCCAUCCCAAAAGGAGGCACAGAAACGUAUGAGUUUAAGCCUAUUAAGGGCCGAUACGUCAACAUUGUUCUACCUGGGAAACGUAGAAUUCUCAGUAUGUGUGAGGUUGAAGUAUUUUCAGAAAAGAAAAGUGCCACUUGUGUUCCAGGGUGGUGUACACCAGAGUAGGAUGAUGUUGGAUGAGAAAGUUUAAGCACCAGAACAGAAAAAGAAAACUUCAUAUUCAAACUUUAUUUUGCAGUGUGUAAAGUACAUUUCAAAUAUCUUUUUUUUAAAUCAACUUAUUUUCAGUAUAUUGAAAACGCACUGUUUAUGAUUGUUUCAGUGUAAUGUGUGCUGUGUUUCAGUGCUAAAUAAAUGUUUCACACUGAUCUUCGAGGUAUAAUUCUGUGAGUAUGUUUGGUGUGAGUGAUCUUGCUGUAGUGCUUAACAGAGAUAUGGUGUUUGGGAGGAAUAGUUCAGUAGCUUCA